CGGAGGGUGCAAGCGUUAUCCGGAUUUACUGGGUUUAAAGGGUGUGUAGGCGGGCUUUUAAGUCAGUGGUGAAAUCUCCGGGCUCAACCUGGAAACUGCCAUUGAUACUAUUAGUCUUGAAUUUUGUUGAGGUAGGCGGAAUAAGUCAUGUAGCGGUGAAAUGCAUAGAUAUGACUUAGAACACCAAUUGCGAAGGCAGCUUGCUGAACAAAUAUUGACGCUGAGGCACGAAAGCGUGGGGAUCAAACAGGAUUAGAUACCCUGGUAGUCCACGCCCUAAACGAUGAUUACUCGACAUACGCGAUACACAGUGUGUGUCUGAGCGAAAGCAUUAAGUAAUCCACCUGGGAAGUACGACCGCAAGGUUG
rnacentral:rRNA from 1 species